CAGAUCCGGUUGAUCCUGCCGGACCCGACUGCUAUCGGGGUGGGACUAAGCCAUGCAAGUCUAGGGUACCUAGAGGUUUCCUCUAGGUACCCUGGCGCACGGCUCAGUAAUACCCGGUCAACCUGCCCUCGGGCGGGGGAUAACCCCGGGAAACUGGGGCUAAUCCCCCAUAUGCGAGGGUGUCUGGAACGACCCCUCGCAGAAAGCCCUUCUGGGCGCCCGAGGAUGGGACCGGGGCCCAUCAGGUAGAUGAGGGGAUAAAAACCCCUCAUGCCGAUAACGGGUACGGGCCGUGGAAGCGGGAGCCCGGAGAUGGGCCCUGAGACAAGGGCCCAGGCCCUACGGGGCGCAGCAGGCGCGAAACCUCCGCAAUGCGCGCAAGCGCGACGGGGCCACCCCGAGUGCCUCCCGCUGAGGGAGGCUUUUGCCCAGUGUAAAAAGCUGGGCGAAUAAGGGGAGGGCAAGGCUGGUGCCAGCCGCCGCGGUAAAACCAGCUCCCCGAGUGGUCGGGACGAUUAUUGGGCUUAAAGCGCCCGUAGCCGGCCUCGCAAGCCCCAGGUUAAAUCCAGCCGCUUAACGGCUGGGCCGCCUGGGGGACUGCGAGGCUAGGGGGCGGAAGACGCCGGCCGUAUUCCCGGGGUAGGGGUGAAAUCCGUUAAUCCCGGGAGGACGCCCAGUGGCGAAGGCGGCCGGCGAGUACGCGCCCGACGGUGAGGGACGAAAGCCGGGGGAGCGAAGGGGAUUAGAUACCCCCGUAGUCCCGGCCGUAAACGAUGCGGGCUAGGUGUUGGGCAGGCUUCGAGCCUGCCCAGUGCCGUAGCGAAAGCGUUAAGCCCGCCGCCUGGGGAGUACGGCCGCAAGGCUGAAACUUGAAGGAAUUGGCGGGGGGGCACCACAAGGGGUGGAGCCUGCGGUUUAAUUGGAGUCAACCCCUGGAACCUUACCGGGGGAGACAGCAGGAUGAAGGCCAUGCUGAAGACAUUGCCAGACGAGCUGAGAGGAGGUGCAUGGCCGUCGCCAGCUUGUGCCGUGAGGUGCCCUGUUAAGUCAGGGAACAAGCGAGACCUCCGCCCCUAGUUGCCAGCGGGCCCCGCGAGGGGCGCCGGGCACUCUAGGGGGACUGCCGCCGAUAAGGCGGAGGAAGGAGGAGGCGACGGCAGGUCAGUAUGCCCUGAAUCCCCCGGGCCACACGCGGGCUACAAUGGGGGGGACAGCGCGUACCGACCCCGAGAGGGGAAGGUAAUCGCUAAACCCCCCCUCAGUUGGGAUCGAGGGCUGAAACUCGCCCUCGUGAACCUGGAAUCCCUAGUAACCGCGCGUCAUCAACGCGCGGUGAAUACGUCCCCGCCCCUUGCACACACUGCCCGUCGCUCCACCCGAGCCGGGCCCAGGUGAGGCCCUGUGUGGCACCCUUCGGGGUGUCAUGCGGGGUCGAACCUGAGCCUGGUGAGGGGGGAGAAGUCGAAACAAGGUGUCCGUAGGGGAACCUGCGGACGGAUCACCUCCUU
rnacentral:rRNA from 2 species